UAACACGUGAGCAACCUGCCCCUGACUCUGGGAUAAGCGCUGGAAACGGCGUCUAAUACUGGAUACGAGACGUGAUCGCAUGGUCAACGUUUGGAAAGAUUUUUCGGUUGGGGAUGGGCUCGCGGCCUAUCAGCUUGUUGGUGAGGUAAUGGCUCACCAAGGCGUCGACGGGUAGCCGGCCUGAGAGGGUGACCGGCCACACUGGGACUGAGACACGGCCCAGACUCCUACGGGAGGCAGCAGUGGGGAAUAUUGCACAAUGGGCGGAAGCCUGAUGCAGCAACGCCGCGUGAGGGAUGACGGCCUUCGGGUUGUAAACCUCUUUUAGCAGGGAAGAAGCGAGAGUGACGGUACCUGCAGAAAAAGCACCGGCUAACUACGUGCCAGCAGCCGCGGUAAUACGUAGGGUGCAAGCGUUAUCCGGAAUUAUUGGGCGUAAAGAGCUCGUAGGCGGUUUGUCGCGUCUGCUGUGAAAUCUGGAGGCUCAACCUCCAGCCUGCAGUGGGUACGGGCAGACUAGAGUGCGGUAGGGGAGAUUGGAAUUCCUGGUGUAGCGGUGGAAUGCGCAGAUAUCAGGAGGAACACCGAUGGCGAAGGCAGAUCUCUGGGCCGUAACUGACGCUGAGGAGCG
rnacentral:rRNA from 1 species